GUGGUGUCGGUGAUUUCUACAAACUGUGAAUGACUAAACAAUUAUCACCACGAAAAAUCAGUAUUCUCGAGAGAAGGGGAAUGAACAGCAUCCAAUGCCAAUUAGUUUCAAUGCUGGUAUGAUAAGAAGUUGAUGGGUUGGAUCAUGCUGGAC